CCCACCUUUAAGUGGUUCAGAUGUCUGUAGGCAAACAGAAAGAACAAAGUGGGCAAGGACCAGGACAAAACCUGGAGCUUGGACUUUGCUGGACUUCUCUGCACAACACCCACAUCAGCUGGAACGCAAUUUGCACGUGCAUCACGUCCAUCCUGACCCUUCAAUAACUGAAUAACUGUAUAAGUUUGGCUCCUAAUCUCACAGGAUCAAGCAUAAACAAAAUAGAGGAAAUGAUGAUCAGUAAUGUGACAUCUCUUCAGGACAUCGACAGCAGCAGGGCAGGAAACAUGAGCGUGAGAUUAUAGAGUUUGCACUGCACAGCACACCCUUUAAUUAAGCCCUUACCUCCAGCAGAAGACGCUGAGCCAAAGCCACCAGACACACAGACAGCUUUCUCGCUCAUAGUUGUAGCCUUUAUUACCACAUCGAACACAUUUUAGCCUAAAAAAUCCAGCAGUUCUUUUUAUGACACACACCUCAGCAUAUGCAUUAUUAGAUGUUGAGGCAUAAUAAUAAGUCAUUAGUUAUUGUAUCAGAUCAGAAGUUUCCUUUAGGUUCUCUUUUGGUUCUCUGGUUUCCUUCUACCUCUAAAAAACAUGCCAUUAGGUGGAUUGGUGUGUGUGUGUGUGUGUGUGUGUGUGUGUGUGUGUGUGUGUGUGUGUGUGUGUGUGUGUGUGUGUGUGUGUGAGAGAGAGAGAGAGAGAGAUUCCCUGUAAUUGAUUGCUAUUUCAUCCCAUACAGCAUUUCAGUUUUCCUGAAAUAAUCUCAUCAGCCCAUUGUAAUGAAUGUGUAUAAAUAAAUUAUUGCCCUGCUGGACCAACCUGCAUCAGUCACACUCUCAGAAGAGGGCGAUGUUCAUCUUUCCUUUGCCAACCACUCAUCUGCCUCACUUCCCUCUAGGCUGAACAGGAAGUGUGUAUCUAACCAGAUACGCUGUUAUGUUGUCAUGCUUUGGAUAGUUUACACAGUUUCUAUUUCAAAACCGAGGACAAGCACAGAGCGACACACAGUCGGCUUUGUUAUAGUGUCUAAACAGAUGAAGAGCAGAGUUCACUUUGUAUACACGCUGAAGAGAAGCUGAGCAUUAGCCGCCCUUGUUGAAUCCCACAGCACUGACUUUGCGUGUCACGUCUUCCUGGCUCGGUGUUUUGGGCUUUGAACUGAAGAGGUGCUAAAACCAGGAUUCUAGAUGUCACCAGUUUGAUGUUAGUUUGUAAACUGUGUACGUAAUAUGCAUGCACCUCCCAGCCAAAUUAAGCACUGUGAAAUUAAUAAAUAAAAACUUUGAUGUUA